rnacentral:rRNA from 1 species
UGAGAGGACGAUCAGCCACACUGGCACUGCGACACGGGCCAGACUCCUACGGGAGGCAGCAGUAAGGAAUAUUGCGCAAUGGGCGACAGCCUGACGCAGCGACGCCGCGUGGGGGAUGAAGGUCUUCGGAUUGUAAACCCCUUUCGGCAGGGAAGAUGGAACGGGUAACCGUUCGGACGGUACCUGCAGAAGCAGCCACGGCUAACUUCGUGCCAGCAGCCGCGGUAAUACGAAGGUGGCAAGCGUUGUUCGGAUUUACUGGGCGUACAGGGAGCGUAGGCGGUUGGGUAAGCCCUCCGUGAAAUCUCCGGGCCUAACCCGGAAAGUGCGGAGGGGACUGCUCGGCUAGAGGAUGGGAGAGGAGCGCGGAAUUCCCGGUGUAGCGGUGAAAUGCGUAGAGAUCGGGAGGAAGGCCGGUGGCGAAGGCGGCGCUCUGGAACAUUUCUGACGCUGAGGCUCGAAAGCGUGGGGAGCAAACAGGAUUAGAUACCCUGGUAGUCCACGCCUUAAACGAUGGAUACUAAGUGUCGGCGGGUUACCGCCGGUGCCGCAGCUAACGCAUUAAGUAUCC